rnacentral:lncRNA from 1 species
UUCUCGCUCCCCUUUCUUUCCCAUUAACCAAACACAGACUGAAUCCAGCUGAGGGGGGACCAUGAAAAACUUCACGGAAGGCCUGCCUUUCUGCAGCACAGGGCAGGAAAAUCCAGAGGAACAGAUCUGAGAACCAGCAGCCACGGGAUGUGCAUGGAGCUGGACUUGUGUGGAGUCUUUCUCGUUUGCACACAGGCUAGCAGAGAGGAGGAAUUCAGACUUGCCGUGGAAUGCACAGCAGAGUCUGUGAGAUCUCUCUACACAAGACUGGCUGUGCUGCAAAUCAUUAUGUGGACCAGCCUGACCUUGAACUUGCGGAGUUGCCUUCUGUCUGCCUCUCCUUCCUGAGUGCUGGGAUGAAAGGAAUGAAGUCAAACAGGAGCCUUACUCUAAGGAGUACAUGAUCUCCGCCUCCACGCAUGAAGACACGGAAGGGCAAGUGGAAUCUAUGCGGCACAGAGAGGAGGUGAGCGGUUAUCCGAGGAUGAGGUAGGUCUGGGGAUCAGUGAGGGUGUGGUGGGAAUUAUGGGACGUUUUAUAGAAACAGAACAAAAAAAAGUCACAAGUCAAGAUACAUUUUGAAUAUGUUGGGGCCAGAAGAGGCAUCAGGUCACCGGAGACUGCAGCUGUGGAUGGUUACGAGCCAUCAGAGGGGGACUGGGAAUUUAACCUGGAUCUUCUGGAAAAGCGGUGCAUACUCUUGGCCAUUGAGCCAUCUCUUUAGCCCCUGAUGGUAGAAAUUUUAAUGGAAAUUAAUUUUUAUGACAUUGAAGGUUGUCUCCAGGUCUUGGCAUAAAUGAAGACUCUUCCCAUGGCCUGAACAUCUUUCUUCCAUCCUUCAAAGCCAUUGCUACACGGCAGCUCCCGGAUCAACGUGUUCCUCAUGGGAGUGAAUAAACAUCUCUGAGUCAGGAGGAGUGGAAAAAAUUCGCCCAAGAUUUACCCACAAAUUGGCUCUGAGAAAGCACCCCAGAACACUCCCAAAGCAUUUGUGCCAGGUUCCCUGGGCUGCUGGGUUUACUUGAGAAAUCAUAAAAUGACUUUUGUGUGUUUAUUCUUUGACAAUUUUAUACACAAAUGCAAUGCACCCCGGUCAAACUGUUGUCUUUUAAAUAUUUAUUUAUUUAUUUAUUUAUUUAUUUAUUUAUUUUUAUGAGUGUGGGUGGUUUGAAUGUAUGUAUAUAUAUAUAUCAUGUGCUCACAUGCCUGGUACCCACAGAGUCCAGAAGAUCCCAUGAGACUAGAGUUACAGAUGGUACCAAGCUGCCACGUGGAUGCUGGGAAUUGAACUCUGGUCCCCUAGAAGAACAACCAGUGCUCUCAACCACUGAGCCAUCUCCUACCCCUUGAAUUCUUUUUCACAAAUCAAAGUGUCCUCAAGGACGACAACAUUCUCAGGUGUGUGUGCUCCAAUGCACAUCACUGAUACCUCAGGAAUGAAAAAGGGUGUAGAAGUAAUUUGAAUCAUUUCCUACAUCCUUUGUGGUUCUAGUAUUCUGAGAGAUAACAAUACUA